rnacentral:rRNA from 1 species
GACGAACGCUGGCGGCGUGCCUAAUACAUGCAAGUUGAGCGCUGAAGGUUGGUACUUGUACCAACUGGAUGAGCAGCGAACGGGUGAGUAACGCGUGGGGAAUCUGCCUUUGAGCGGGGGACAACAUUUGGAAACGAAUGCUAAUACCGCAUAAAAACUUUAAACACAAGUUUUAAGUUUGAAAGAUGCAAUUGCAUCACUCAAAGAUGAUCCCGCGUUGUAUUAGCUAGUUGGUGAGGUAAAGGCUCACCAAGGCGAUGAUACAUAGCCGACCUGAGAGGGUGAUCGGCCACACUGGGACUGAGACACGGCCCAAACUCCUACGGGAGGCAGCAGUAGGGAAUCUUCGGCAAUGGACGAAAGUCUGACCGAGCAACGCCGCGUGAGUGAAGAAGGUUUUCGGAUCGUAAAACUCUGUUGGUAGAGAAGAACGUUGGUGAGAGUGGAAAGCUCAUCAAGUGACGGUAACUACCCAGAAAGGGACGGCUAACUACGU